rnacentral:lncRNA from 1 species
CACAAUAGGUUCUUCUUGAUCUUUCUUUUCAACAUAGUUGGCUUGUCCUUCCAUAUUGUUAGUGGAACUUCUACAUUCAUAAGCAUAAUGAUCAUAUUUAUUACAACUACAACAUCGAGUUUGGGAUAUCAUACUUUCCUUUUUCAUUUUGCCUUGAGUUGUGCCAUCUUCCACUCCUUUUUAAGGAAUAUGAGUUUUGGCAUGUUCUUUAAUUUUUUAAUGAAUUAAAACUACCUCUUCCUCUAGUGCCUCAGCCACAUCCACGACCACAUCCACGACCACAUCCAUAGCCUCGUCCACGUCUACGUUCACAAUUAUUUUGACUUCUUUCAUUAAAAUUUUCUUCAUUCUCUUUUAAUGAAAGCUUUGUUUGAAGAACUAGUUCCAAUUUUUCUUGGUUCUUUUUUAAUCUCUCUUCAUGGGCUUGCAAUGAUCCUAUAAGUUAAUCAGUGGUUAUAAAAUCUAAAUCUUUAGAUUCUUCAAUGGUCACAACAAUAUAAUUAAAUUUUGAAUAUAAAGAUCGAAGUAUUUUCUUAAUCACAUGAGUAUUAUUUUAACUCUCACAGUUUCUUUUUAAUAAAUUCACAAUAACGAAUACUCUUGAAAAAUAAUUAGAGAUUGAUUUUAAUUCUUUCAUAUUCAAACCUUCAAAUUCUUCUCUAAGAGUCUGAAGAUAAACUUUUAGUACCUUGUCAACUCCUUUGUGUGUAUUUUGUAAUAUCCCCUAGACUUCCUUCAAGGUGGUUGCACUUAAAAUCUUCUCAAAAGUGCCUUCAUCCAUUGCUUGAUAGAUGAUGGUCAAAGCUUUUUUGUCUCUCUUCCUCAUAUCUUUAAAAAAAAAUCCCUUUGAUUUGGGGAUAGAUUAGUCUCAUUUUGUGGGUCUUGUGAACCAAGCAAAACCUUCAUCUUGAUGCUCUAAUUAUUGUAGUUGUCUUUAUUGGAUUGAGGAACUUGAAAUGGAUAUAUCCCACUUGCCAUCUUUUUCAUGACUCUAAUACCAAUCUGUUGGAUAUGCAAAAACAUUGAUACUAAUUUGGUUGGAGUAAUGGGGUUGAUAGAGAAACACACAACUUACAAGGAAGAUAAAAUUAGGGAGAACUAAAAUUUUUAUUGUCUUCAACCACUCUCUCUAUUUUUUCAAACAUUGCAAAAUCUUCUAUUUAUAAUUACUCACACUAAAUAUAAUAGAAACUCUUAAUAAUAAUAUAUAAAAACCUUCAAAGACUUAAAAAAACUCAAUAAUAGAAACUAGAAUAACAAACUCAAGAAUAGAAACUAGAAUAACUACCUAAAAAAAAAUAUUCUCCCUUGACUUUUUAGAAACUAAAUCUAAUUGUAAUAUUUUAGAAGUUUCUACAUCAAGUUUAUUUUUCAACACUACUUAGUCCAAAUCCAACAUCUUAUCUCCUCCUAUGGAACUUGCAAUACCUAGGAGAGCAUGGAAGCCUUCCAACCAACCCUAAGGCAUCCAUGAAGAUUCCCUAUAUCGGGAAAAGGAGUUCUUUUAGAGGGUGGAGUUGUAGAUAUUCUUCUAUAGAUUUUGCAGCAAUGCUUGAGUAGCUAGAUUAGUGCUCGAACAGUGAUUGAGUGCUCAAGCAACCUUCAAGCAUUGCAUCCAAUGCCAAAAGC